UGUGCCAGGCUGGGGAUCGAACCCAUGUUCUGGCACACCCAAGACACCGCCAAUCCCAUUGUGCCACAGCGGGAACUCCCAGAAAAUCUAUUUGAAAACUUGAUAAGGGAGAAAGGUCACAUGCAAAGAUCUUCCUUGUUAAAAAUGAAGAGUUAACCUCAACGCCCAACAGCGGAGGAGCUGGCUAAGUAAACAAUGAAAACUCUAAAUGAAAUAUUACGCUGGUGUGAAGACUCAUGAUUACAGCAUCUGUGGAAUGCUGCAGAGUGGAUGCUUAUGCGGUCGGUAGAGACGACACAAGGUCAUGUAAACACGGUGAUUGCGAGUAUGUGAAACAGCAACACUGUGUAAAGGAUGGCAAAGAAAGAGAUACAGACAUCAUUCUCGUUGCAUGCCGGGACUCCGGGCAUCUUCUCUCCCUGCUUUCCAGCUUAUCCAGAUAGUCUUAUUCUAUAAGGAACUCGAGGGGUUCCCUUGUGGCUCAGCAGAUUGGGGGUCUGGCGUUGGUUGUCCCCACCACAGCUCAGGUCGCUGCUGUGGCAUGGGUUCGAUCCCUGGUCCUGGCACUUCUGCAUGUGCAGAAGUGGCCACAAAAAAGGGAACUCAGGAGUGUUCAGUUGUAAUGGCGAGGCCUGGGCCAGCCUAAACUCCACACGGCAGACCCUCGUGAUGGGUGACAGGCACUGCCGAAGAAGCACGUGGAGUCCGCGGUGCUGCGGGCGCACCCGUGCUGAGGCCCCAGGCCCCGUCUCUGCUUGGCGGAGCUCACUGACCUAUCGCAGCAGACCUUACCCUGGCUCAUCCUGCCUCACCCUGCCAUGUUCUGCCUUGUGUUAUCACUGCUUCCUGUUGGCAGUGGGGUCCUAGCUUCUCCUGCAGGCCUCUGGGACUGUCCUGCCAAGCCUCGUCUUGUGAUGUGGGUACCAGGCACUGCCCCUAGCCUGCGGUGCUGCCUCUCACUUCCUACUGGCCUCCAGCCGGGCCCUCACCCUCUCUUCCUCAGUUCCUCGAAAGCUCGAAGCUGCUCCCCAACUCAAGGCCUUGGCUGGCUGCCUGUUCUGCCUGGAGACUCCUCCCUUUGCCCCUGGGCGAGGCUGGUGGUUGUUUUACCUAAAAGCAUCUGCAGCGUGGUUAUUUCACAGGGCUCCCUUUCCUGACCGGCCUCAUCUGCCCCUCCCCUGCCCAACCCUGUUCCAGGCUGGCAGAGUCCAUGGCUGUCUGGGUGUCCCCGUUGCCUCUUGGUGCCACUCCUCACACAUGCAGAGUCUCCUUCUGGGGCCUCCUCUCAGUCCCCGAGUCCCAAAGGACAGUAGGGUUUUGUGUCUUCCUUGUUUGCCACAGCGCCCCAGCACCAGCUCAGGGCCUGGCACACAGCAGGUGCUCCAUGAAUGAAUGAAUGAUGGAUAAAUUAACGUGUAUCCUGGUUUCCCACAGACGAGCGAGUUGUGGAGUUGGGCUUUCUGGCUUAGAAUCCCAGCCUCCCACUCAGUGCUUCUCUGCACCUCUACUUCCUCCUCUGGAAAAAGAGAAUCAUAAUCUUGAUAAUAACAUUACAGAUGGGACAGUGGUGAGAAUUAAAUGCCCCAAUACAGGACAGGCACAGAGCACCGUGUCUUGUCACAGCGUAAUGGCUCCAUUAUCAUCUGUUCUUUUAUUGUUAUUAUUGCAUUUCCUAGCCUCCCCCUCCUGGCCCCCAUCUGAGGCUUUGCUUGGAUAAUUCCUUUUGCUUUAUCUUUAUAAAAUGCUUAUAUAGCAUUGACUCUGUGUCAAGGACUGCCCUAAAUGCUAUACAAAAAUUGUAAAUGAUUUUUAUUAUUCUUUUUUAUUACAGUUGAUUUAUAGUCUGUCAGUUUCUGCUGUACAGCAAAGUGACCCAGUCGUACCCACACACACACACACACACACACACACACACACACAUUCUUUUUCUCACAUUAUCCUCUGUCAUAUUCCAUCACAAGGGACUAGAUAUAGUUCCCUGGGCUAUACAGCCGUUUAAUCAUCCUAACAACCACCUCGUGUCGGUUAUACCCACUUUACAGACGGGAAAACCGAGGCACAGAGAAAGUAAGAAACUUGCCCAAGAUGACUGGCAAGGUGACAGACUGACCCUUGACCCUGCACAGUCUGGUUCUAGAGUCCUGCUCCGAAUGCCCAUGUGCUGCCUCCCAGCCACGGGAUGCAGAAAAAUGUGCCUUCCUCUUUUGCCCAUGUCUCCCCAGUGCUUUCCUCUUCCUGUGCUGCUGGCAUCUGGUCCUGCACUUUUCUCCUUGGAGGCCGUCCCAGGGUUCGCCUCCAGCUAGGGGUGCCAGGUUGAGCAAACACAAAUACAGGUGCCCAUGCAAUAUUUGGGGGCAUACUGAUACUAAAAAAGUGUUCCCUGUUUGUCCGAAAUUCUCAUUUACCUGAGGUUCCUGUAUUUUAACUGGCCACCCUACAUCUAGCACCAGAGGGUGGCGGCGUGGUUUGGGGCCACCCACCUGCAUGUGGUGGUCUCAGACACCCACGCGUGGAGUGCCCUGGGGUCUGCCGUGGUCCAGGCGGUAGGCACACUUGUGAACUCUCCUGGAGGGCAGAGCGGCAGUCGGGCUCUCCCAGGGAAGGAGGAGGAAGACUUUGGAUAGGCCGCAUCGGUCAAGGAGGACCAGUCCAUCAGGGUGGAAGCAGCAUCUUAAGCAACUGCCGGGGAGGAGAAGUCAGGGGCACAGCAGAAUGUCAGCAGGGCACCGAGCGGGAAGGGCAGGGGUCGUGGUGGGGAAGGGUUAGAAGGCUGCAUGCCUAGGUCAUGGCCAAAUUGUGCAGGGCCUUGGGUGGCCAAGGAGUCUGGGCUUGUUCGCCUGAGUCGCAAGGAUCCAUGGAGGACUCCAAGAGGAGGGCGACGUGAUUAGGUGUCACCUCCCAGGAAGGUCUCUGGGGUGAAGAGGUUGGGAGGGGCUGGGGCUGGGAGGCAAGAGAAACCUCGGUCCAGGGAAGUCCUUGCCCAGAGGGCUGGGGAUAAGCACGUCGUGUCUCCAUUCCUGGAAUUCUUUGCUUCAUCCUAAAACACCUUAUGCAGAGAGGGAAGAAGUAAAAGAUGGUUCGUGGUCCCGUUUCUCAUCCAGAGAGCAGUUUGGCUGUGUGGGUGUUUUUCGCCCAACCCUCUGUCGGUAGGUCUCUAGCACCCAGAGGAAGGGGUGCAGCAGGAGGAAGGAAGUGCUGGAGUUUGGAGUGAGGGUGGAGGGUGUUCCUGGUUUGCUUCUAAAUCAGUGUCUUGGGCAGAUGCUGGAGGAUUGGGUCAAAGGCGUUGCUGGGAGGAUGUGCCUGCCCGGCGAAUAUUAGCCCUAAUCAAUCUUGUAUACAGAACACUCUUCAAGCAACUGUCUGAGCUCCAUUGCAAUUUUCUGUCUUAGCAACUAGUCGUUGCUUCUGAACACAUCCAGGUUCUUAACGGUGAGCGAUUUAAAGCUGUAAAAGAAUUGUCAUAAACAGCUCCCCGGAGCCAAGAGCACGGCCCAGAUUUUAAGCACAUAAUGGAAUCAUAUCAAAAGCAAGGAGGGGCAGCAGGAACCAUAAAUCCUCGAAGUGCAAAAUCUGUCCAUCGUGAAACUUGUGCUGAAGGGAAACCAGAUGUGGAUGCUGGAGAGUCAGCCGCCGGAGGGAGGCAGGCAGGCAGGCGCGGAGGAAAGAGUCCUAUUCGCAGGGAGCUGCUGCCCACGGAGAGCUGGCAGAGGCUCAGGCCGGGGAGGGGGGCAGGUUGGUCCAGUCGGCGUGGCCGCGGGUGGGGGUGGGGGGCAGCAUCAAAAGGAAAAAGCAGAGGCUGCAGGUGACUGUGCUUGUUGCUGCUGCUUCAGCCGAACCAAUGCAAGCAUUUUAUAGACUUUUCCUGAACUUGUGCCGUUGAAGACACCACAUUUGGAGCAGUUCUUUAACCAUGGAUUUGAAAUAUUACCAAAAAAGCCAACAGUGUUUAUCCUGUAGAGGAAGGGGAACCGAGGUGUGGAAAUCCCUCUGGAUGGGGUAAAAAGCAUGGUUACCCAUUUGGUCCUCCUUGGCCUGAGACAGGGGGGCGGGGUGUGGAUUGAUGCACCAAGUCUUUUGAAAACAACAGGGUAAACCCUUGCUGAGCACCCACUCUGUGCCAGACACCAUGCCAGGCCUGCAGGGGCUGCAAGAGGCCAGCAGCUCCCCGAGAUGCCUGCAGCGAAGGGAGCCAAAGGCAGCAGGUGGGGGGCAGUCCUGGAAGUGGGCUUCUGACAGGAGUUCUUGGAUUUCACAGGGAUCCCUGGGCAGUCCCAUUCAGACAGGGGGCAGGAGUGCUGUCGUGGUGCCGCUAGGCUUGAAAUGGACACAGACGGGUGCGAGGGAUUUCCGUGGGUGCAGAAGGGUAGAGGGUGGGGUGGGCCACAGGGACCGAGUAGCAGCGGUAAGGCCUGGAGGCUAAGGAGGGUGAUGGAUUGGGGGAGGGAGGUGUCGGGAGAGCCUUGAACCCCGGUAUCAGGAACUUGUAAUGAAGUCAAUUGGAAAAUUGAAUUUGGUGCUUGAGUCUCUUUGAGGUCAUUUCAACUCCCAUGUUGGGGGGAGG
rnacentral:lncRNA from 1 species